UCAUAUGCUUGUCUCAAAGAUUAAGCCAUGCAUGUCUAAGUACACGCCUAAGAAAGGUGAAACCGCGAAUGGCUCAUUAAAUCAGUUAUGGUUCCUUAGAUCGUACCUUACUACUUGGAUAACUGUGGUAAUUCUAGAGCUAAUACAUGCAGCAGAGCUCCGACCUUCGGGGACGAGCGCUUUUAUUAGACCAAGACCUCUCGGACUUCGGUCCGAAGCUCAUGGUGACUCUGGAUAACUUUAUGCUGAUCGCACGGUCUCGUACCGGCGACGCAUCUUUCAAGUGUCUGCCUUAUCAACUUUCGAUGGUAGGUUAUGCGCCUACCAUGGUCGUAACGGGUAACGGGGAAUCAGGGUUCGAUUCCGGAGAGGGAGCCUGAGAAACGGCUACCACAUCCAAGGAAGGCAGCAGGCGCGCAAAUUACCCACUNNNNNNNNNNNAAUUGGAAUGAGUACACUAUAAAUCCUUUAACGAGGAUCUAUUGGAGGGCAAGUCUGGUGCCAGCAGCCGCGGUAAUUCCAGCUCCAAUAGCGUAUAUUAAAGUUGUUGCGGUUAAAAAGCUCGUAGUUGGAUCUCAGUUCCAGACGGGUGGUCCACCCCUGGUGGCUACUGCCUGGCCUGAACAAAUCCAGCCGGUUUUCCUUGAUGCUCUUCACCGAGUGUCUUGGGUGACCGGCACGUUUACUUUGAAAAAAUUAGAGUGCUCAAAGCAGGCGUGACGCCUGAAUAAUGGUGCAUGGAAUAAUGGAAUAGGACCUCGGUUCUAUUUUGUUGGUUUUCGGAACACGAGGUAAUGAUUAAGAGGGACAGACGGGGGCAUUCGUAUUGCGACGCUAGAGGUGAAAUUCUUGGACCGUCGCAAGACGAACUACU
rnacentral:rRNA from 1 species